AAAUAAAUUAUUCGUACAUCUGCAUGUUCCCGCCCUCAACUCAUGCACCGUAAAAUAAUGGAAUGAAUGGUCAAGGUCGUUUUGUGACAUUGAAACUUACGAGCCGAGCUGAACUCCAACUUCACCGCGUAUCUGAUACGCUCAGUGUGGAUGGACGCAAUGGGUGUAACAGUGGCCAGGGGGUGCGGAAUAACCCGAAAUUCUGGACCAAUUGUCUGCAAUAAAAUAGACAAAGAUAGUGGCCU